AACAUUAAAAAUCAGCAGAGCUGGUAAUGGGAGAGAAGCAAUCAAAAAGAAGUUGCUGUAGUUGCGAUCAUGAAGUUUUAAAGGCACUUCAGAAUUUCUGGGGAACUUGUGUAUUACUCUUGCAAAGGAGAUGGAGUCAAGGCAUUGUGACACAAGUCAACCCUCCGUCAAGGACUGCUUCUGCCACCUCCCUGGAGCUGUUCUUCACAGAGUUUUAAUUGCUGGAGAGCCAGGCCCCAUGUAGCCUUUGCUACUGCACUCUUCAUGGAUUCCUGCAGGUAUGCAAUCCAAGAUCCCUUCUUUGCACCCACACUGCUGCAUGCCAUGACAGCUGAGAAAGGCUUGUGGCUCCUGAUGAUUGUCACUUAAAAAUUCUCCAGUGACACAUUUCUAUCCACUAAGGGGUGAGAAAUUACAAUGCUCUGCAAAGGAUUGGAUUAUUAUUUAGAAAUAGGACUAGCAGACACAGUAAGAACAUGAUAUGUUGCUGUGGGAUGGUCUGUAUGUCAAGUGUGUUGCUGAUUGGUCAAUAAAUAAAUCAUUGAUUGGCCCGUGGCCAGGCAGGAAGUAUAGGUGGGACAAGGAGGAGAAUAAAGCUGGGAAGUGGAAGGCUGAGUCAGAUAGACACUGCCAGCCACCACGAUGACAAACAGCAUGUGAAGAUGCCGGUAAGCCACGAGCCAUGUGGCAAGGUAUAAAUUUAUAGAAAUGGAUUAAUUUAAGCUAUAAGAACAGUUAGCAAGAAGCCUGCCUCAGCCAUACAGUUUGUAAGCAAUGUAAGUCUCUGUGUUUACUUGGUCGGUUCUGAGCAGCUGUGGGACUGGCAGGUGAGAGAGAUUUGUCCUGACUGUGGGCCAGGCAGGAAAACUCUAGCUAUAAAUGGCGUUCAACAUGGUGGCAAGAGUUUCCACCUAAAAAAAGAGAAAAAAGAUUCUAAAACGGAGCUAAAACAGUUCCUAGUUGUCUCUCUCAAUUGAGCGGCAGCUGCCGGUUUGAGCUACUGGUGGGUUCCUGGUGUGCGCGCUUGACCUGCAGUAUGGCAGGAAUGAGGCCUCUGCAAGUGGCACAUUAAGCUGCGUGGUGGAUUUAGCCUUUGCUAAUGCAAAACAAAAAAAAAAGAGGUUUCUGGGCUACACGCUGCUUGGCUAAAAGCAUAGACCCACGAUAGCUCCCAGAACUGGCGGUAAACGGUAAAGGUACCAUUGCCAUGUUGGGAAGCUGAGGUGGGCGGAGCCAGCAGCCAUAGCACCCUUUCAGUCUUACAAAUGCUGCAGUUUAAAGCAAUAGAUUCACAAUAAGACAAAUUCAGAUGUAAUAGUUUACAAUAUGUGUAAAAGAUACGUAGGCUUGAAAGAGACAAAAAAGGUGAUAUAUACAGUUAUAUAAACAAAUACAUAGUUUUAAAAAAUAAAGUCUUUAAAGAGACAGUAAAAUUAAUAUAAAAAUAAGCCACUUGAAGAUGAAUAUUACACAGAAAAUCUGGAUUGUGUUGUCUUUGGGAUUUUUAACUGCAGAAAAACAUUUGAUCGUAAAAGAUGUUGAGUUAAACCAAUAUGUAUAUUUUUUUUUUAAUUUUUUUCAUUUAUUCUUUUAUUAAUUUCACACAACACAUUUUGAAUCUAUUCUUUUCUAUCCCCCAAAUUCACUCAAAAUUUUCCCCAAUUCUUUAUGCUCCCAACUCCAUGUUCUCUUUGUUCAAAUGAUAAAAAUUAAACAAAAACAACAUCAAAGUCCAAAUUAUGUUGACUUGCUACUACUCCUGCCCUGGAGUGUGGUCACACUGUCACUCCAAUUAAAGAAAACUGAUUUUCCUCUUCUUUCAGUAGCUAUCAA